UGUUAUGAUGGUGUAAUUUGCGUCUGACACUGCAGUGACGGUUUGCCGUCUGUCUUAUAACUGGCACUGUGGGUUGACAAAACAAAAGUUCUGAUAA